ACGAACGCUGGCGGCGUGCCUAAUACAUGCAAGUCGAACGGUCUUUCUAUGGAAGCUUGCUUCCACUGAGAAGAUAGUGGCGAACGGGUGAGUAACACGUGGGUAACCUGCCCAUAAGAGGGGGAUAACAUCCGGAAACGGGUGCUAAUACCGCAUAGUUUUUCUUGAUCGCAUGAUUGAGAAAGGAAAGACGGCCUUUGUGCUGUCGCUUAUGGAUGGACCCGCGGCGUAUUAGUUAGUUGGUGAGGUAAUGGCUCACCAAGACGAUGAUACGUAGCCGACCUGAGAGGGUGAUCGGCCACAUUGGGACUGAGACACGGCCCAAACUCCUACGGGAGGCAGCAGUAGGGAAUCUUCCGCAAUGGACGAAAGUCUGACGGAGCAACGCCGCGUGAGUGAAGAAAGGUUUUCGGAUCGUAAAACUCUGUUGUCAGAGAAGAACAAGUUGGAGAGUAACUGCUCCAGCCUUGACGGUAUCUGACCAGAAAGCCACGGCUAACUACGUGCCAGCAGCCGC
rnacentral:rRNA from 1 species